rnacentral:rRNA from 1 species
CCUACGGGUGGCAGCAGUGAGGAAUAUUGGUCAAUGGGCGCGAGCCUGAACCAGCCAAGUAGCGUGAAGGAUGACUGCCCUACGGGUUGUAAACUUCUUUUAUAAGGGAAUAAAGUGCGGCACGUGUGCUUCUUUGCAUGUACUUUAUGAAUAAGGAUCGGCUAACUCCGUGCCAGCAGCCGCGGUAAUACGGAGGAUCCGAGCGUUAUCCGGAUUUAUUGGGUUUAAAGGGAGCGUAGAUGGGUUGUUAAGUCAGUUGUGAAAGUUUGCGGCUCAACCGUAAAAUUGCAAUUGAUACUGGCAGCCUUGAGUACAGUUGAGGUAGGCGGAAUUCGUGGUGUAGCGGUGAAAUGCUUAGAUAUCACGAAGAACUCCGAUUGCGAAGGCAGCCUACUAAACUGUAACUGACACUGAUGCUCGAAAGUGUGGGUAUCAAACAGGAUUAGAUACCCCUGUAGUC